UCAGAGCUUCUGUUGGGUGGGGCUACACCAAGAUUUCCAUAACCAGACAGGUUGUCAAGAGCAAUUCAAGAAGGGCAUGGUUCAUGCCAGGGGGCCUGUACCAGUACCCCAGAGUGGGCCAGCAGGCAGCUCUUAUGCUGGACUGGACGUGCUUUUAGACCAGGUCCCUAAGGACACACUUUCACCCUGACAGGGAUGGGCUGUGCUGGUGAGGAGCCUCUUGGCAGCUGCCACUGCCACCCCUUUACCGAGCUUGGAAUCCCACUCCAUUUGGUGUCAUCAGACCCUCUGAGAGUGAGAGACAGAGCUAGUGCUGUUGUAUUUCUAGAACUGAAGCCUGUUGGGUCCAAGGACACACACGUUGGAAAGACUGAUACACACCGAGAAAUCAUUCCACAGAGGACAGUACAAAUGUCUACUUCCGCCACCAAUGUGAAAUCCUGUCUAGUGAGCACCAGUCACUCUUGCGUUGAUGAAUCUUAUAAGAUGUCAUGGUCAUCAUUAUGAAUAUCAGUCCUCAUCAUUCAGAGCUAAAUACACAGAGGUGGCCUGACUGAGGUCCCAAUUACUUUGAUUGCACUGAAUUGAACGUUCCCUGGAUUGCAAUGCAUACAAGGUGAGAUAGAACUGGCAACUUGGCCCAGCACGUCUGACACUGAAAGCUCAAGUUAUCAUCUUGAGUAGCAGGUGGUACCAUGUUCAAGGCUUGAACUGAGAUGCUAGAAAGGCCACAAUCACCAAAAUGUUAUAUGGCCCAUCUCCCAUAACCCUGCAACCUCCCCUCAGAAUCUGUGUCUGUCCAAAGAUCCGUGUAUGAAGAAAUUCAUUACAGUAUUGUUUAUAGUGCUGAAAAACUAG